rnacentral:tRNA from 1 species
AAAAAAUUAGUUAAUUUAUAACAUCAGAAUGUCAUUCUGAAAUUAUUGAACAAAUCAAUAUUUUUUG